UGGGCCUACCUGGGUGAUCAAAGUUGUACUGGCCCUUCAGCGCUUUCCCCUUUUGCUCCGGAGUCAGGACUCUGUAGAAGCUGUCCUGGCUGAUAAUAGCCACCUUUCUCUGGCGGUGGUCCACCUUGUUCUGACCCAGAAGCUCCAUGAUCUUGGCGCAAACUGUUGACUGGCAGAAAACUUAUUAUGACCUGUCAUUAUGCUUUACUAGGAUAGAACAGCAAGUUUGUGUCCUGAGCUAUAGGGGGAACAAAUGACCUUCUCAAUGUAGUAACGUUAAUCAGCUGACUCUUGGUCAGUCAUUGCGAGGGAAAUAGUUAGCUGUAUGACGCCAUUUAACGCUAAAAGGGCAACAGGAAGUGUUGGCAAAGGUAGUAAAAAUUAACAGAGCAGAAAUGCAAUGACUGCUCUGGCGUGUUAAUGGAAAGAAGAAAUAUAAAGAGAGCAAGGGGGCGUGCCUGCUGUUUUGACAGUUUGCCUGGUGCUAUUAUGUUGGCGCUGCUAGCACACUAAGCUAAGCUACUCGAGAUGCUAACUCCGUAGUUCGUCUGCCUGAAAAAGGGACUGACCUUGCCGCUGGCGGUUCCUCCGCUGACCCCUAUUAGGAAAGGGCGGUGACGGGGCCUCUCUGCCUCGUCCAGGGUCCCAAGAGUAUCCAUCGCAGUCCAACUGCAGAAGCUUUAAUGCAGAGCGACUUACAUUUGAGGAACAGCGUAAGCUACAAAAAAGCAUCAAGAAAGUGGGACAUCUACAAGUAACAACAGAUUCAUCCACCACUAUCUCCAAAGCAGCACUUCCUUCGAUCCUCUUCACAGUCUCUCCUUUGGCAGCAAGGAUUUCCUCGAUGUUUCUAAAGUGGAAAACAACACAACACGAGUAAUUCAGAAAUGUACCCAUGUCUAGUGUAUUUUGAACAUCGUGCGCACUCCAUGCUCAAAAGGCUGCAUGGGUCAAAAGCACCUCCAACCUCUUCCCUUCCAGGUCAGAGAACCAGUUGAGGUUAUCAGCGAUGAUAUGGUGGUUCUUGCAUCCUGAACAUGUCACUAUCACAACACCUUUGUGAUAAGCCUGCUUGGAUAUCUUCUGCGUGGACCUAGUAGAGCAAACCUGCAAACAUGUCACAUAAAUGACUUUUAAACCCAGGGAUAUGUCACAACAUAAAACAAACAGACCAAGAAAAUGUUUUGGGAUUUCAAGAUGGAAAACUUUAACAUCUGAUUAAAUAAAGCAACAGCACAAGUUAUGGCCCAACACUGGUCCUGGUACCUUGCAUGUGUAAAUGAG